rnacentral:rRNA from 1 species
UGGGGAAUCUUCCGCAAUGGACGAAAGUCUGACGGAGCAACGCCGCGUGAGUGAUGACGGCCUUCGGAUUGUAAAGCUCUGUUAAUCGAGACGAAUGGUUCUUGUGCGAAUAGUGCGAGGAUUUGACGGUACCGGAAUAAAAAGCCACGGCUAACUACUUGCCACCAGCCGCGGUAAUACGUAGGUGGCAAGCGUUGUCCGGAAUUAUUGGGCGUAAAGCGCGCGCAGGCGGAUUGGUCAUUCUGUCUUAAAAGUUCGGGGCUUAACCCCGUGAUGGGAUGGAAACUGCCAAUCUAGAGUAUCGAAGAGGAAAGGGGAAUUCCUAGUGUACCGGUGAAAUGCGUAAAUAUUAGGAAGAACACCAGUGGCGAAGGCGACUUUCUGGACGAAAACUGACGCUGAGGCGCGAAAGCCAGGGGGAGCGAACGGGAUUAGAUACCCCGGUAGUCCUGGCCGUAAACGAUGGGUGACUAGGUGUUAGGAGGUAUUCGACCCCCUCUGUGCCGGAGUUAACGCAAUAAGUACCCCGCCUGGGGAGUACGACCGCAAGGUUG